rnacentral:rRNA from 1 species
GAUGAACGCUGGCGGCGUGCCUAAUACAUGCAAGUCGAGCGAACAGAUGAGGAGCUUGCUCCUCUGACGUUAGCGGCGGACGGGUGAGUAACACGUGGAUAACCUACCUAUAAGACUGGGAUAACUUCGGGAAACCGGAGCUAAUACCGGAUAAUAUAUUGAACCGCAUGGUUCAAUAGUUAAAGACGGUUUUGCUGUCACUUAUAGAUGGAUCCGCCCCGCAUUAGCUAGUUGGUAAGGUAACGGCUUACCAAGGCAACGAUGCGUAGCCGACCUGAGAGGGUGAUCGGCCACACUGGAACUGAGACACGGUCCAGACUCCUACGGGAGGCAGCAGUAGGGAAUCUUCCGCAAAGGGCGAAAGCCUGACGGAGCAACGCCGCGUGAGUGAUGAAGGUCUUCGGAUCGUAAAACUCUGUUAUUAGGGAAGAACAAAUGUGUAAGUAACUAUGCACGUCUUGACGGUACCUAAUCAGAAAGCCACGGCUAACUACGUG